rnacentral:rRNA from 1 species
UUUUAUGAGAGUUUGAUCCUGGCUCAGGACGAACGCUGGCGGCGUGCCUAAUACAUGCAAGUCGAACGCUUCUUUUUCCACCGGAGCUUGCUCCACCGGAAAAAGAGGAGUGGCGAACGGGUGAGUAACACGUGGGUAACCUGCCCAUCAGAAGGGGAUAACACUUGGAAACAGGUGCUAAUACCGUAUAACAAUCGAAACCGCAUGGUUUUGAUUUGAAAGGCGCUUUCGGGUGUCGCUGAUGGAUGGACCCGCGGUGCAUUAGCUAGUUGGUGAGGUAACGGCUCACCAAGGCCACGAUG